GACGAACGCUGGCGGCGUGCUUAACACAUGCAAGUCGAACGGAAAGGCCCUGCUUUUGUGGGGUGCUCGAGUGGCGAACGGGUGAGUAACACGUGAGUAACCUGCCCUUGACUUUGGGAUAACUUCAGGAAACUGGGGCUAAUACCGGAUAGGAGCUCCUGCUGCAUGGUGGGGGUUGGAAAGUUUCGGCGGUUGGGGAUGGACUCGCGGCUUAUCAGCUUGUUGGUGGGGUAGUGGCUUACCAAGGCUUUGACGGGUAGCCGGCCUGAGAGGGUGACCGGCCACAUUGGGACUGAGAUACGGCCCAGACGCCUACGGGAGGCAGCAGUGGGGAAUAUUGCACAAUGAGCGGAAGCCUGAUGCAGCAACGCCGCGUGCGGGAUGACGGCCUUCGGGUUGUAAACCGCUUUCGCCUGUGACGAAGCGUGAGUGACGGUAAUGGGUAAAGAAGCACCGGCUAACUACGUG
rnacentral:rRNA from 1 species